GCAUUAAUGGGGUAGUGGUAACCUGGGUCGUUGCCAUUCGAGUAAUUAAGCUCGACCCGCCGGGGGUUCGAUUCCCUCUUAAUGCA
rfam:Hebeloma cylindrosporum h7 unplaced genomic scaffold scaffold_16, whole genome shotgun sequence.